UACGUAGGCAGCGAGCGUUGUUCGGAGUUACUGGGCGUAAAGGGCGCGUAGGCGGCCUGCUAAGUCGGAUGUGAAAUCCCUCGGCUCAACCGAGGAACUGCAUCCGAUACUGGCGGGCUUGAAUCCGGGAGAGGGAUGUGGAAUUCCAGGUGUAGCGGUGAAAUGCGUAGAUAUCUGGAGGAACACCGGUGGCGAAGGCGGCAUCCUGGACCGGUAUUGACGCUGAGGCGCGAAAGCUAGGGGAGCAAACGGGG
rnacentral:rRNA from 1 species